CUACUUGGGGAAAGCUUUUUGACACAAGAAAGGAAACAAAGUCUGAAUAUUUAUCAUUUCUAGAUUGGUGAAUAGAGUCAGAACAGCUAAUAACACAAAUUUGAGAGCUGCAUCUGUGGGCAUAGAUUUCACUGAGAUCAAAAGAGUUGUGUCUGUUUCCUUGACACUUUGUGGAGUUAAAACUAAAGACAAAGGCUAACUACAGGCAGCAUGGUAGAUCUGGAUGGCUGGGAUUUGAUGUGGCUUGCUUGCACACAAAAACAAAUAGUUUGUUUGGCUGGAUAUAGAAAAAAACAUGUCCUUCCGACCAAUUCAGAGACUUGUUCUGACUGCCAAUUGAGAUAUUUCCCAGUCUUUUCUCCUUGUACCACCUAAGGAAAGUAUUAGAUUCAAAAUUGUGAAAAAUUCAGUUUAUCAGAAGAAAUAUAAAUAGCUCACACAUUUGAUCUUAAUUCCAAGUGUGUAUACCACCUUCAGAAUAGAGACUUUUUUUUUUUUACGUUUUGUUUCAUUCCGAAGUGUAACGAGGGCAUCGUUUUAGCUCGGAAUGUCCUUUGUGUGUUAGAGAGAGGCUGCCUUACCCUGCCUUCUUUUGAGAGGGUGAUCUGUACUUAUGAAAUUUCGUGACCCUAAGUUGCUUGGCAAAACUACAAAAACUAAAACAAAACUGUGACCUGCUUUGUAGACAGGUAAAUAAACAGUUCAGGUAUUAAACAAUAAACCCCUUGAUUUCAAAGGACAGUGAUGUGUUUGACGAUAAGAGACAAUUCCUGUAAUUCUUUUGUGUUCCCGUGAAGUUUGUUGCAUGAACAACUUGUUUUUAUGGUACAGUCCUGUACGUUAAUUGUUACUGGCACUUAUCUUGGAGCUCCCGUCAACACAAUAGUCAUUACCAACACCUGAGCUGAUCCGCACGUGGAUACGGAUUACAUGGAUCGCUUACUUGGGGGAAGCCAGCUGCCAUGUCAUGAGUACCACUGUGGAAAUGAACUGAAGCUCCCUGCCGAGAGCCGUCCAAGUGAGCUUGCAAUGGGAUGCUCCAGUCCAGCCACACCCCCAGUUUACUGAAGCCCCGGUUGACAGCUUGACUACAAAGUCCCAGGGACACCUGAAGCAGAACCACCCAGCUAAGCUCCUCCUGAGUUCCUGACUCACAGAAACUAUUGGAGCACCACAACGACACUCGGAAAGAGUCCCACCGUGCUACUCAGCAAGUUCUCUCCCUGCUUACCAGAAAGGAAGGAAGAAAUUCAAGAAAACAAAUUAAGAAAGAAAAUGUGGGUGGAGGACAGAUGACUUACUGGUAUCUCCUCCACCCAUCCUGUCUCCUGUCCCUACUCCGAUCACCAGUGAGACGCCUGAGGUGUGGGAGGGGCUGUCGACAAAAGCGUGAGUGCCUGCAGAUGUGGGUGUGUGCCUUUGAAAGCGAGACUGUUGGAGAAUAGCCCUGUGCUCAGAGGAGAGAGAAUUUGUCUCCUGGGACAGAGAGCAUCUGUAGGAAAUUACAAACUUGAGGUCAUGUGUAUUUAAGAGUGAGAAAUUCAGUGUGGAAGAGACUUCAACAGCAUGAGUGAUAGGGAUGCGAAUGUGCUCAGGACAGUGAGCGUGUGAAACAGUGAAUAAGGCAGGGAUGAUUAUGUGUCCCAGAAAGGCACCAGAUGUGUGACUAAGUGUGUGUGAACAAACAGAAGGAAAUAAAUAAAAUAAAUGAAAAGAGAUGCAAAGUAUGGAUGAGAGUCAUAUGUAUAUGAUGUCACUUCGGUGUGACUACAUUGCAUGUCAAUCCAGUACCACCAACAAGAAAUUCAAUCUUACCCAAAUCCUCUGGGUUGUAAAGCACAGUAGAAAUGGAUGACCAGGUGGUUAACUAUAUCCCUGCAUUUUCAUGAAUUGAGAUCAUUUUAAAUGAUGUAGGCAAGAAAACCAUUUAAAGACAGAA